rnacentral:rRNA from 1 species
GCUUAAUUUGACUCAACGCGGGAAAUCUUACCGGGUCCGGACACACUGAGGAUUGACAGGUAACGUUAUACACACAUAUAUUUACUCUCGGGUAUUURUACUGCUGUGUAUAUAUAAAAUAUGCUAGUCCUUUCAUGAUUAUGUGAUAGGUGGUGCAUGGCCGUUCUUAGUUCGUGGAGUGAUCUGUCUGCUUAAUUGCGUUUCACUAAGGAUCUAUAUUCAUAUUACGCAUAGCAUUUUGACCCCUUUAUGCUUCGGUAUAAAGCUGCGCGUCAAACCUUGCUAUCUGCGUAUAUUAGAUCCUGAAAGCAACGAACGUGACCGCAACCUCUUGUUGCCUUUAACUAGGUUUUGCUUACGUAUAGCUUCGGCUUUACGCUUUGCAUCUAAAAAGGCUGAUUUUCUAAACUAGAGGGACCGCUGUUACUUUCUUAAACCAGAGGAAGGUUGCGGCAAUAACAGGUCUGU